rnacentral:rRNA from 1 species
GACGUAGGGGGCCAGCGUUGCUCGGAAUUACUGGGUGUAAAGGGUUCGUAGGCGGUGUGGCAAGUCGGGAGUGAAAUCUCUGGGCUCAACCCAGGGGCUGCUUCCGAAACUGCCGUGCUAGAGUGUGGGAGAGGCGCGUGGAAUUGCAGGUGUAGCGGUGAAAUGCGUAGAUAUCCGGAGGAACACCGGUGGCGAAGGCGGCUUCCUGGACCGACACUGACGCUGAGGCGCGAAAGCUAGGGGAGCAAACGGG